UCACCAAAGAAGGCUAUUCCUCAUUUCCUAUGCUGGUAUUUUUUGGAAGGAUUGCUGCAGGCGGUAGCAGCGACAGCAUCCCUGGCAACGCCUCCAGUCUAAUAGAAUCUCAUGUUCAGAGAGCAAGGGCUGCAGUGGAGAAAACGCGGGAAGCUCAGCUGCACACGGCAGAACCGACAGCAGAAGAAAGGUAGAACGGUAGAUGCCUUGGCAAGAGGAGAGUCAGCACUGAAGUCAGGGUCCAAGAGCUCAGGAGACCGCUGACAGAGCAGGAGACUCGCUCCUCUCCUGCCAGCCAUCUCAAAACAAAAACACCCACGCACUCCAUCUCCACUCUCCCCUGACCCCAGCCUGCCGGAGAUCCCCCCGCCCUCCCUCCUUCUCCUGUGCUUUCUCUUGCACUGUACACAGUGCACAGCCAGCCCUUGUAGGCCUGCACCAGCCAAUCACAUGCGAGCAGCGCAAAGUCCCACCUAUUAAUGCACACCCACACAAACAGAGGAGUGAGAGAGUAAUGAGGAAGCCGAACAAGAGCAACACAGAGAGGAGAUAAGUGGAGUGAAUAACAGCCAGGGGGAGGGGUAGAGCAUGAUCAUGCUGAAGUCAGAGCAACAGGAAAAGAACAUGAGAACAUAAACUGGCUGAAAAAGGAAUUGAGUGCUACAAAAGCAAUGCACAAGUGCACACGGCAACGCUUGGCACACCAUGAAAGGCAAAGAACAGAGAGGGAAAAAGUGCCGGAAAAGGUCAAGUUGAACUGAAGAAAGCUAAGCGAGGCAGCAGAAUCCCUACUGACAGAGAGGGCAAAUCCGCUAGCAUGCAAAUCAAAACCUUAGAAAAAUGUUUUCACUGCUCAAUACCGCUCUCUUACGAACCCCCCCCCCCCCCAAAAAAAAACAC